GUGAACGCUGGCGGUAGGCCUAACCCAUGCAGGUCGAACGGCAGCACCGUAAGAGCUUGCUCUUACGGGUGGCGAGUGGCGGACGGGUGAGGAAUACAUCGGAAUCUACUUUUUCGUGGGGGAUAACGUAGGGAAACUUACGCUAAUACCGCAUACGACCUACGGGUGAAAGCAGGGGAUCUUCGGACCUUGCGCGAUUGAAUGAGCCGAUGUCGGAUUAGCUAGUUGGCGGGGUAAAGGCCCACCAAGGCGACGAUCCGUAGCUGGUCUGAGAGGAUGAUCAGCCACACUGGAACUGAGACACGGUCCAGACUCCUACGGGAGGCAGCAGUGGGGAAUAUUGGACAAUGGGCGCAAGCCUGAUCCAGCCAUACCGCGUGGGUGAAGAAGGCCUUCGGGUUGUAAAGCCCUUUUGUUGGGAAAGAAAAGCAGCAGGUUAAUACCCCGCUGUUCUGACGGUACCCAAAGAAUAAGCACCGGCUAACUUCGUG
rnacentral:rRNA from 1 species